rnacentral:lncRNA from 1 species
UGCCUGCCUGCUCCAGAGAAGCAGCCUUUGUUCCUCAGUUCAUCGCAACACUCAGCCUGUCAGUCAGGUUGUGGGAUCCCUCCUAUCCAGGAACUGUAUGCUGUUGUCCCGGUUCUGACACUUUCCCUCUGAGUCCUUGGACACCUUACCUAACCUCUUGGAAGCUCCUGUCUGUGAAGGGUGUGCACAGAGAGCUUCGGUAGCCUGCGAAGCAGCCAUUUUCACUUCCACGGAGCAGAUGCUGGCCUGGGUGCUGGAAUAUGGAAAUGAGGAAGAUCCUGCCUGAGGAUUUCAUGACAGUGCUGCGAUUACCGACGUGAGCCACUGUGCCCAGCCUCACUUUAAAAAAAAAAAAAGGUUAUGAAGCAUCUCAACACAAGACCUCCUUUGCUCAUCACAACCACCCAGUGAAGCAGGCAAGACAACAGAAACUCCCCACCUGUGAUAGAUGUGAGGCCUGAAGUCUCCCACAUACCCACGGCAGAUGCAACGCACAGCGGUGACCAAUGGUGAAGGAUCUAAAACCUGAAAAGAGGCCAAAUGAUUCCUCAAAACCACGCAAGUACGAAGUAGCAGAGCGGAUCUCAAAUCCAGAGCACUGCGUGUUUUGAAAUAUACAAAUAGUGGGAAACGAAAUCUUUGUUCUGGAUGCAGUUAUAAUUUGGAAAGCGAGGAAAUAAAUUAUAACAAGGGGAAAAAACAGACACAGAGGGAUUGAAAUGCAUAACAAUAGAGAUGAAACACGAAGAGUGAUAAAUGAAGAUUGAGUGUGCACACCUUCUGGAGGAGCCCUGAUUGAGUAUUUUAAAAUACUACUAAAGUCAUGCCGUGUGACUUCUGAAGCUAGCUCCUAAGAAGUCCUUGCAGCUUCUGCCUGCGACUCUUAGAACACUUGCUUUGAAGGAUGCCAGAUGCUGUCUUAAAAGUCUGAGCACUCUGAAACCAUCAUGCUGUGAGGAAGCCCAAGCUAACCACAUGGGCAAAAAAGAUGCCCUCUGACUGCCACCAUUUGAGACACUCUAAUUAAGAACUGCCUCAUUGAGCCCAUGAGGCCCUGUGAAUGAUAAUAAUAAAUUGUUUUUAACCACUAUGUUUUUGGAUUUGUUAUAAGUUUAUAGAUAACAAGAAAAAGUUAUAUUAGCAUGGUAAUAAAAUUAUGGAUAUGUGUAAGUUUGGUGUUUUGUUUCUUUUUUUUUUUUACACUAAGCCUAUAUUACUGUUGUAAUUUAGGAAAUCACUUGUUUUCCUCCAGCACUUCAAUGUAAGAGUGGCACUACUUAGAAUGUACUUCUUAAGAUAUGGCU